AUGUCUUCUUCAUCGGAUCCUAGGGGAUUGGCAGGGAAGAAGCUUGAGGAUCCCAACACUUUGCUAGAAAGGUUGCACCUCGAAGAGGAUGAGUUGGAUGAUCUGAUCUGGGAAGAGGAAGCGGAUGAACCGGAGGAAAAGCCCAAGUGGCUCGUGCUUGCUAGGGUAUUGACAGGAAAGAGCUUCGGUCAGGGUGCUCUGAUCGCUGACAUGAGGGCGGCUUGGAAUCCAGCAAAAGAAGUGGUAUGGCGCCGAAUAAAUCCAAGUCUUUUCUCUUUGCAAUUUAACUGUUUAGUAGAUUGGAACAAAGCCAUUCAUCGGGACCGUGGGAUUUCAGAGGGAUGGCAUUGCUAA
rnacentral:rRNA from 1 species